UUGAAGUGUGGCAGGUGCAAGUCUACUAUUUCCAUCUAUCUUCACCAAAUGGUGUUUUGAUAGUCUCACAACAAAGCUAAUCUCCAGCAACUCGUCCAAGGUGGAAUAAAACACGGUCUGCAGGUUAAUUUGAAGAAAGAGUUCGACGAUCAACCCAAAUUGAAUCGGCACGAACACUGUCAGCGAGUGAGUUAAAUACUUCGGAUCAGGACUCUCCAGCAAUGCAGGACUGCGCCAUAAAUUCACUUCACGUUCAGCCCAGCCUCGCCGUCCCCUAUGAUUCCGAAUGCCUGCCGCUACCAAACAUAAUGAAAGCAUUGCGUCCCUUGUAGAGAAAUUGUUAGAAAGACGUCCUCGAUGGUAUGGAUGUUAAACGCACUGAUCAUAACUCUCAAGAUAAGGCCCAGUGUAAAUAAUACUGUAAAAGCUAUUAGGUUGCUCCAGCAUGUCCAAUCUGAUAAAAAAUCCAGAACAAUGAACAAAUGUUGACAUCA